rnacentral:rRNA from 1 species
UACGUAGGGUGCGAGCGUUAAUCGGAAUUACUGGGCGUAAAGCGUGCGCAGGCGGUUGUGCAAGACAGAUGUGAAAUCCCCGGGCUUAACCUGGGAAUUGCGCUUGAAACUAGCGGGCUUGAGUGUGGCAGAGGGGGGUGGAAUUCCACGUGUAGCAGUGAAAUGCGUAGAGAUGUGGAGGAACACCGAUGGCGAAGGCAGCCCCCUGGGUCAACACUGACGCUCAUGCACGAAAGCGUGGGGAGCAAACAGG